rnacentral:rRNA from 1 species
UUUAAAGAGAGUUUGAUCCUGGCUCAGGACGAACGCUGGCGGCGUGCCUAAUACAUGCAAGUCGAACGAACGGAGGAAGAGCUUGCUCUUCCAAAGUUAGUGGCGGACGGGUGAGUAACACGUGGGCAACCUGCCUGUAAGUUGGGGAUAACUCCGGGAAACCGGGGCUAAUACCGAAUGAUAAAGUGUGGCGCAUGCCACGCUUUUGAAAGAUGGUUUCGGCUAUCGCUUACAGAUGGGCCCGCGGUGCAUUAGCUAGUUGGUAGGGUAAUGGCCUACCAAGGCAACGAUGCAUAGCCGACCUGAGAGGGUGAUCGGCCACACUGGGACUGAGACACGGCCCAGACUCCUACGGGAGGCAGCAGUAGGGAAUCUUCCGCAAUGGACGAAAGUCUGACGGAGCAACGCCGCGUGUAUGAAGAAGGUUUUCGGAUCGUAAAGUACUGUUGUUAGAGAAGAACAAGGAUAAGAGUAACUGCUUGUCCCUUGACGGUAUCUAACCAGAAAGCCACGGCUAACUACGUGCCAGCAGCCGCGGUAAUACGUAGGUGGCAAGCGUUGUCCGGAUUUAUUGGGCGUAAAGCGCGCGCAGGCGGUCUUUUAAGUCUGAUGUGAAAGCCCCCGGCUUAACCGGGGAGGGUCAUUGGAAACUGGAAGACUGGAGUGCAGAAGAGGAGAGUGGAAUUCCACGUGUAGCGGUGAAAUGCGUAGAUAUGUGGAGGAACACCAGUGGCGAAGGCGACUCUCUGGUCUGUAACUGACGCUGAGGCGCGAAAGCGUGGGGAGCAAACAGGAUU